AGUGAAAAGGCCAGAACAAUUUUUAGAGUAAACACAGUAAAAAAAUCCUUUUUUACUGAGAUCUCAAGCAUGUUUUGGUUGUUCCUGCAACAACAACAGAAAAUUCAGUACACUACACAAGAGCAGGAAGUAAGGGGUCAAACUUGCUACUGGAAACAACAGGAAAAUAUAUGCAAAGAAAACACUAAGCUGGCCCAUCUUGGCGGCGGCUACUGAAUAUAUAGUAUGUUUAGCUUUAAAACCUUGUAUGCGCUUGAUUUGGCAGCUAAUUUAUAUCAGGUCAAGUAGACAAGAAAACAAUUAUCCUAGUAGUAUUAUCGCAAAAGAAAUGAUUAAUCUACGGCUGCCUACCUCCGUGAAAUUGCUCUCCUUCUGCGCACUGUUACAACAACAUUUUCUUCCAAGAUGGCCACACUACUGAAUGAGAGUAAGUAAAUUUUCUAUAUAAGCACCUACAUAUUCCCUCCAUUCCUAAAUAUAAGUCCUUGUAGAGAUUCCAAUAUGAACUGCAUACGGAGCAAAAUGAGUGCAUCUAUAUUCUAAAAUAUGUCUAUAUACAUCUGUAUGUAGUCCCUGGGAAAUCUCUAAAAAGACUUAUAUUUAGAAAUGGAGGGAAUAUAACUUUGCCUAAUGAAUGAGCACAGUAGCAAACUCAAUGACUCAUUUUUUGUUCUUCCUAAUUGAACCUUCUUAAUGAUAAAAUUCCAGACCACAUAAAAUUGAGUCUAGGUUGGAUCAGACUCACCGGAGCGCAGAGCUCGGCCGGCCGCCGAGAAUGACAAAGAUAGGCCUGGGAUGGAAGGUGCAGGAGGUCGAACCUCCGCCCUGCCCCUCCUGCCCUAUGUACUGCAUUUGGGCAAUAAAAGGAGCACGGAACUGCCCUGCUGCAAAAAUUAAACAGAUCCACCAGACUUGGCCCCAGCAGUCCUUAACAAAAAAGUUGUAGUCUCCUUGUACACCAAACCACUUUUCCUA
rnacentral:lncRNA from 1 species